UGAACGAUAAUGUCUCGCGAUUUAGUU
rnacentral:sRNA from 1 species